ensembl:snRNA U5 U5 spliceosomal RNA
CCACAUGUGGUUCUCUACAAAGCAUGCAAGUCUUUCGCCUUUUACUAAAGACUUCUGUGCAAAGGAGCAACGCUUUGUCAGUUGUAUUUUUUAGCAGGCUCUGCCACUAGUAAAGCCU